GUUAAUGUAGCUUAAUCAGUAAAGUAAGGCACUGAAAAUGCCAAGAUGAGUCAUAAGACUCCAUAAACA
rnacentral:tRNA from 1 species